GAGUUUGAUCCUGGCUCAGAACGAACGCUGGCGGCAGGCCUAACACAUGCAAGUCGAACGAAGCCUUCGGGCUUAGUGGCGGACGGGUGAGUAACGCGUGGGAACGUGCCCUUUGGUUCGGAAUAGCCCCGGGAAACUGGGAGUAAUACCGGAUAAGCCCUACGGGGGAAAGAUUUAUCGCCAAAGGAUCGGCCCGCGUUGGAUUAGGUAGUUGGUGGGGUAAUGGCCUACCAAGCCGACGAUCCAUAGCUGGUUUGAGAGGAUGAUCAGCCACACUGGGACUGAGACACGGCCCAGACUCCUACGGGAGGCAGCAGUGGGGAAUCUUAGACAAUGGGGGAAACCCUGAUCUAGCCAUGCCGCGUGAUCGAUGAAGGCCUUAGGGUUGUAAAGAUCUUUCAGCUGGGAAGAUAAUGACUGUACCAGCAGAAGAAGCACCGGCUAACUCCGUGCCAGCAGCC
rnacentral:rRNA from 1 species